rnacentral:rRNA from 1 species
GCUAAGGUCGGGGCAGCAGCGGCGGUAAUACGGGUGGUGCAAGGUUGGCUCGGAAUUAUUGGGCUUAAAUGGCAGGUAUGUGGUCUCAUUUGUCAGGGUUGAAAGCCUUGAGCUUAACUCAAGAAGUGCCUUUGAAACGGUGUGACUGGAGUCUUGGGGAGGGUCGUGGAAUUCCCCGUGUAGCGGCGAAAUGCGUAGAGAUGGGGAGGAACACCAGAGGCGAAGGCGGCGACCUGGACAAGUACUGACACUCAACUGCGAAAGCGUGGGUAGCAAACAGGAUUAGAUACCCGAGUAGUC